rnacentral:rRNA from 1 species
GAUGAACGCUAGCGGCAGGCUUAAUACAUGCAAGUCGUGGGGCAGCAUGACUGUAGCAAUACAGUUGAUGGCGACCGGCAAACGGGUGCGGAACACGUACACAACCUUCCUUUAAGUGGGGAAUAGCCCAGAGAAAUUUGGAUUAAUACCCCGUAACAUAAUGAAAAGGCAUCUUUUUGUUAUUAUAGCAGCAAUGCGCUUGAAGAUGGGUGUGCGGCUGAUUAGAUAGUUGGCGGGGUAACGGCCCACCAAGUCUGCGAUCAGUAACUGGUGUGAGAGCACGACCAGGCACACGGGCACUGAGACACGGUGCCGAAUCCUACGGGAGGCAGCAGUAAGGAAUAUUGGGCGAUGGACGCAAGUCUGAACCAGCCAUGCCGCGUGGAGGAUGAAGGUCCUCUGGAUUGUAAACUUCUUUUAUUUGGGAAGAAAUCUACCUUUUCUUGGGUAGUUGACGGUACCAGAUGAAUAAGCACCGGCUAACUCCGUGCCAGCAGCCGCAGUAACAC